rnacentral:tRNA from 1 species
GAGGGUAUAGCUUAGUGGUAGAGUACAUGCUUAGCAUGCACAAAGUCCUGGGUUCAAUCCCCAGUAUCUGCA